AUUGAACGCUGGCGGCAUGCCUUACACAUGCAAGUCGAACGGUAACAGGUCUUCGGAUGCUGACGAGUGGCGAACGGGUGAGUAAUACAUCGGAACGUGCCCGAUCGUGGGGGAUAACGGAGCGAAAGCUUUGCUAAUACCGCAUAAGAUCUACGGAUGAAAGCAGGGGACCGCAAGGCCUUGCGCGAACGGAGCGGCCGAUGGCAGAUUAGGUAGUUGGUGGGAUAAAAGCUUACCAAGCCGACGAUCUGUAGCUGGUCUGAGAGGACGACCAGCCACACUGAGACUGAGACACGGCCCAGACUCCUACGGGAGGCAGCAGUGGGGAAUUUUGGACAAUGGGCGCAAGCCUGAUCCAGCCAUGCCGCGUGCAGGAUGAAGGCCUUCGGGUUGUAAACUGCUUUUGUACGGAACGAAAAGACUCUUUCUAAUAAAGAGGGUCCAUGACGGUACCGUAAGAAUAAGCACCGGCUAACUACGUGCCAGCCGCCGCCGUAACAC
rnacentral:rRNA from 1 species